rnacentral:rRNA from 1 species
CACGUAGGGGGCAAGCGUUGUCCGGAAGUCAUUGGGCGUAAAGAGCGUGUAGGCGGCCCGAUAAGUCCGCUGUGAAAGUCCAGGGCUCAACCCUGGAAUGCCAGUGGAAACUGUCGGGCUGGAGUCCGGAAGAGGCGAGUGGAAUUCCUGGUGUAGCGGUGAAAUGACGCAGAUAUCAGGAGGAACACCAAUGGCGAAGGCAGCUCGCUGGGACGGUACUGACGCUGAGACGCGAAAGCGUGGGGAGCGAUCCGG